rnacentral:rRNA from 1 species
GACGAACGCUGGCGGCGUGCUUAACACAUGCAAGUCGAACGGAAAGGCCCUGCUUUUGUGGGGUGCUCGAGUGGCGAACGGGUGAGUAACACGUGAGUAACCUGCCCUUGACUUUGGGAUAACUUCAGGAAACUGGGGCUAAUACCGGAUCGGAGAUCCUGCUGCGUGGUGGGGGUUGGAAAGUUUCGGCGGUUGGGGAUGGACUGGCGGAUGAUGAGCUUGUUGGUGGGGUAGUGGCUUACCAAGGCUUUGACGGGUAGCCGGCCUGAGAGGGUGACCGGCCACAUUGGGACUGAGAUACGGCCCAGACGCCUACGGGAGGCAGCAGUGGGGAAUAUUGCACAAUGGGCGGAAGCCUGAUGCAGCAACGCCGCGUGCGGGAUGACGGCCUGCGGGUUGUAAACCGCUUUCGCCUGUGACGAAGCGUGAGUGACGGUAAUGGGUAAAGAAGCACCGGCUAACUACGUG